rnacentral:rRNA from 1 species
GACGGAAGGUGCAAGCGUUGCUCGGAAUCACUGGGCGUAAAGGGCGCGCAGGCGGCUGCUCAAGUCAGGCGUGAAAGGCCUGGCUCAACCCGGGAAUUGCGCUUGAGACUGGGCUGGCUUGAGUGCGGGAGAGGAUGGUGGAAUUCCAGUGUAGAGGUGAAAUUCGUAGAUAUUGGAAGAACACCGGUGGCGAAGGCGGCCAUCUGGACCGCAACGU